UACAGAGGGUGCGAGCGUUGUCCGGAAUCACUGGGCGUAAAGGGCGCGUAGGUGGCGACCCAAGUCGAUGGUGAAAGCUCGCCGCUCAACGGCGAGUCGGCCACCGAUACUGGGUUGCUGGAGCACUGUAGAGGCAGAUGGAAUUCCGGGUGUAGCGGUGGAAUGCGUAGAGAUCCGGAAGAACACCGGUGGCGAAGGCGGCCUGCUGGGCAGUAGCUGACGCUGAGGCGCGACAGCGUGGGGAGCAAACAGG
rnacentral:rRNA from 1 species